GAUGAGGCGUGUGCUGUCAUUACUGUCCUAUUCGUUUGCGACCUCCAUUGCCAGUGGGUCUUAGUGCAUCGUGACAGUCCCACAUGGUGUGACAGUCGUCUAUAGCGGCAGGGACAGCGGGAGGCAGACGAUGGAAGGCUCCACCUCCAGCUGAAGGAGUCCCGCUGGUGGUGACUUCUGCUGGUCGCCCUGGUGUAGAGUCCUGCUGGUGGUGAGUUUCCCCAGCACCUGUACCGCAUCACUCAUCAGGUGCUCUUAAUGCUACAUCGGCCACACACCACUGGAAGAUAUUGCGUAUAAUAUCGUCUUAUUAUCACCUUUUUCGCUUAGUUUCCUCUUAUAGUUCCUGCUCUUUUUUCUGUACAUGAUAUAUGAACUGCGCUUGUGUGUGUGAAUCUUUCAUUACCUUUUUCCUUGUUAUCUUAUCUGGUUAGUGUCUAUGUGUCUUUCCUUCCUUCCACGUGUGCCUGUCAUUAUGAACUUUCUGUGAUAGUUCCUGCUUCUUUUUCCGUAUACAGUCUAUGGUCUGCGCUUUUGUGUGCGAGUCUUUUAUUACUUUAUCUGAUAUCUUAUCUCGCUAGUAUCUACCCGUCUUUCCUUCUCAAAUCUGUACUUUUUAGCUCUCAGUAUAAAACUUCCUUUGAUUGUUCCUGUUCCUUUUUCCUUGUAUAAUUCAGGAUCUGCG